rnacentral:misc_RNA from 1 species
AUUACCUCAACCGCAAGGAGGGGGAUGCCUAAGGCAGGGCUAGUGACUGGGGUGAAGUCGUAACAAGGUAGCCGUACCGGAAGGUGUGGCUGGAUCACCUCCUUAAAGGGAGACCUAAUUCCGGUAGGAGACGAAAAAAAAGUAGUCGCUACCAAGAAUCAAUCCCAAAAGGUCGGAGCGAGGCAAAAUUGGCUUUCAAACUAGGUUCUGGGUUCACACAAGACCUGAAUCAGGAACAAGGGCUAUUAGCUCAGGUGGUUAGAGCGCACCCCUGAUAAGGGUGAGGUCCCUGGUUCGAGUCCAGGAUGGCCCACCUGUACAGGUGGCAAAAACAAGAGAAGCGAGGAAUCAGCACCUUAUCUUACUGACAUAGUAAGAGAGAAUGCUGGCUCUGAGUAAAGAGUCCAGAGGAACCUUGAAAACUGCAUA